UCCUCGUAUCUUUACAAUGU
rnacentral:misc_RNA from 1 species